UCUUCAUCAUACCAGUAGAGAGUCUAGUUCCCAGGUCUUCAUCAUACCAGUAGAGAGUCUAGUUCCCAGGUCUUCAUCAUACCAGUAGAGAGUCUAGUUCCCAGGUCUUCAUCAUACCAGUAGAGAGUCUAGUUCCCAGGUCUUCAUCAUACCAGUAGAGAGUCUAGUUCCCAGGUCUUCAUCAUACCAGUAGAGAGUCUAGUUCCCAGGUCUUCAUCAUACCAGUAGAGAGUCUAGUUCCCAGGUCUUCAUCAUACCAGUAGAGAGUCUAGUUCCCAGGUCUUCAUCAUACCAGUAGAGAGUCUAGUUCCCAGGUCUUCAUCAUACCAGUAGAGAGUCUAGUUCCCAGGUCUUCAUCAUACCAGUAGGAGUCUAGUUCCCAGGUCUUCAUCAUACCAGUAGAGAGUCUAGUUCCCAGGUCUUCAUCAUACCAGUAGAGAGUAAGUUCCCAGGUCUUCAUCAUACCAGUAGAGAGUCUAGUUCCCAGGUCUUCAUCAUACCAGUAGAGAAUCCAGUUCCCAGGUCUUCAUCAUAUCAGUAGGAGUCUAGUUCCCAGGUCUUCAUCAUAUCAACAGUACUGCUGUAGGGUACCAGUAGAGAGUCUAGUUCCCAGGUCUUCAUCAUACCAGUAGAGAGUCUGGUUCCCAGGUCAUCGUUGUCUCUUAUUCAGAAUCUGUCAUUGUCCCGGCGCCUGGCUCCUCCACAUUGCGUCCCAAAUGACAUCCUAUUCCAUAUGUGAUCUACUACAGUUGACCAGGGCCCUAGUGUUCAGUACAGGGCAUAGGGGGCCAUUAGGGAUGCACUUCCUCGCAGCCUUGAACAGAACAGAAGCUGCUUAUCAGGCACGUGUGAGAAUUCUAGCCUCUCCUCCCUCUCAUCCCCUUUCCAUUCCUCUCCCUCUCCUCCUUUCCUUUCCUUUCCUUUCCAUUCCUUUCCUUUCCUUUCCUCCUUCUCCUUCUCCUUCUCCUCUUUCUCCUCUCCUCUCCUCUUUCUCCUUUCCUCUCUCUCCUCUCCUCUCCUCUC